rnacentral:rRNA from 1 species
UACGUAGGGGGCAAGCGUUGUCCGGAUUUAUUGGGCGUAAAGAGCGUGUAGGCGGCCAGACAGGUCCGUUGUGAAAACUCGAGGCUCAACCUGGGAAUGCCAUUCGAGACUGCAUAGCUAGGGUGCGGAAGAGGGAAGCGGAAUUUCAGGUGUAGCGGUGAAAUGCGUAGAUAUCUGAAGGAACACCAGUGGCGAAAGCGGCUUCCUGGUCCAGCACCGACGUUCAGGCACGAAAGCGUGGGGAGCAAACAGG